AAGAAAAGUCCAUCUUGAGAAAUCUACUCUCUUGAUGCACAAGUAUCAGAAACAGAAUUGAGGAGAGGGUCUGAAAUAGGUUGGAAGAGUUAGUGCUGUAGGUGCUGCCCUUCUGCUUCCCAUCAAGCCAGGAGGAAAAGGUCCAUGCAUGCACAACACUGGGGGACAAAUGAAUUGAUGAUUGAGACAGCUGUGAAGUGCAGGUAGGGGGGAUCUGUAAUCAAGCUGCUGCAAAUUCUUUGCAGGUGCAGCUCUGUUCUGGACAGAGCUGGAGGCUUUGAUUCUAAUCCCUCACUAAUGAACCCGUUCUUGAUGUUCUCCACUGGAGCAUUGCAGUGACCUGAGAUACUGACACAGCUUCACAGUGUGUAGCAUUGGGGUCUCAAGAAACGGUGAUUGUGUCUUUCUGCUGCUCUGCUUGAUGAUCAAGUAAAGCCUCAGCAUCCAGUAAAGGAUGCUUGCAAGGACUUCUUCAAUUUGAUCUGCAUGCAUGGGAUGGGAAAGAUGGUGAGAGGGGCUCCUUCUGCUUGGCGCAUCCAUAACAGGAUCAUUCCCAUGCUACACCAGUAACUACAUCAAGAGCCAUGGCUGACAUCUGUAACACAAGAUCUCUCCUGCCUUUCCCCAGAAGGGUGAGGUAGUGCAGCAAAGCACUUGUGGCAUAUGUUUGGGAAUUUUUCUUCAAAGGAUGUCAUGAUGCUAUUUCUAUAUUGGUACUGUGAGUACAAAAUGGAAAGUUUCCUAGGGCUUGUGACUAUCUUGAAAUUGCAGGGAGGUUACAGUUCCCAUCCUGGUCUUGCGAUCUGCUCUUCUGCAGGAUGCAACAGGCUGCUUUCCAGUCACCUCAUCCUCUCCCUCCACAGAGGGAAUCCCUCCUUCCUCACAGGUCUCCUCAUUUGGUUGCUAUUGCACUUGUUUUGCUAUUAAAAAAUAAAUAAUUACUUCAUUUUCUGUAGCUGCUCAGUCUUACUGCAGCCACAGAUAUUUUUGUAAUCUUCUAUCAGACUCUGCCUGCAGUGCUGCAGCACCCAGAGAAACCAGUCUGCAAACAUGCAUAAAGUCACGGCAGAGAUGAGAAUUGCAUUUUCUGGGGCCUUUGGACUGCAUUUAUCCUAAAAUGCCAUGGCUGAAAAUAUAUAUAUGUGUGUGUGUGUGUGUAUUAAAAUAAGCACAAGAUGAAGCCUAGUGUUGGUUUUAUUUACUGGGCUACAGCUGGACUGUACACAGUCAUGGCCCGUGCCUGUGAUCUGCUGAUCCUUCUCUUUCAUUUCGUUGACCAGAAAACAGUUUUCUUCACUCAUUGGUUAGCAGAACAGAGAGGCCUUUGCUCAGAGCUCAUGUUACCCAUUCCUUUCUAAUUUAUUUACUGUUUAUAAAUAAUUUAAACUUACUAACACUCUGCUGCUGCUCCUCUCUCCCUAGGCAUGCUUUUAUAAGGGAAUUUGAUCUCUGCUGGGACACAUCACUGAGAGCAUCUGAGGAAAACAAAAGGCCCUUUCUCUGCCCAGUGGAUGGGGAGGGGGGGACGCAGCUUGGGGCUUUAUGCAUGGGGUGUGUGGAGCCGAGGCCUGCGUGCGGUGACCAGCCCUGCCAGGCACCAUUUUGGGCAGGGGGACGCGGAUGGUGGGGUGGGAGCUGGGUCUAGAAAUGGGCUUUCGAGGCUGUUGGUGCUGCUCAAGGCUCUCCAGCCUGAUGUGGGCACAGUGGAUACAUACUGUCACAGGAAACAUGUUUUUGGUGACUCUUGGGGACUAAAUGUGUGGCAGGAGCCAAUGGCUCUGUUGUACCACUUCAACCAUUGUGGCUUUGUAAAGGCAGCAUCCUGGGCUUGCAGUGCAGGUGGGGACAGGAGGUUGCUCACAAGAGGUCAGUAUAAUUAAUUAGGGGACUGAGCCAUUAGGGGGCUGUGGUAAAGUGUCAGGGCACUAGCAUACUUUGUGCAUGGGGCCACCUGAAGGCUCCUGGAGUAUGCACAGCUUUGCUCAGGUGCAGAAGGCUGGGCAGGAGGGCUCUGGUGCUUGCUCUGGGUUGGGUAUUGCAGAGUCCCUGUGGUGUUGGGCCAGUGUAUUACUCUGAAAUGGCUGAAUUUUUCACCUUCUGAUGCCCUGGCACCUCAAAGAGGUGUAAGGGUCCUUCCCUGCACAUCAGAACAGGGCGUGCAGCUUCCACACAGGGACUUCUACGGCCCCAUACUGGGUUUUCCUGUUUAAUUUCAACACCUGACUAAUCCUGAGCAGCAAUUUAAGCCUGCUGGCAAGAUUAUUACCUUCAUUUUGAAAAAUGAUUAGACUUUUUAAAACUAUAUAUAUCACAAAAGCAGCGUGGGCCCCCUACUUCCUGACAGUGCUGUGUGGGUUGGCUUGCUUUCAGUGUGUGCGAUGGAGGACACAAAA